UCUCUGAGGCAAAGACUUAACAUUCUAGACCUCUUCAAUAAACCAACCACAAGUGUUCAAAAGUCAUUAAUUGGGCCCCAAAAAGUUUGGCUUAAAUCAUGAGGUUGUUUAAAGUGUUUCCUUCUUUAAAUGCCUUCUGCUUUCUGAGCCUUUUGGGUGCUCUCACUGGGUUGGUAAGCUUUUCUCAUCAACCAAACGACUUGUUUAAAUUAAACAUUUUCAGGCAAUCUCUGGAUUUGAGCAGCUGAGUCUUUAACAAAGAUACCAACCACCAUGAGACUGGCAACGAAAUAGGAGAGGCUUUUCAAUUUCCUGGUGCAAGCCAGAAUGGAGCCAGGAUCAGUAGACGCUGCACAUGAACUCAUUGUCAUUUUAUAAGAGUCCAUGAGUCAGGAUCAUGAAGUGGAUGGUUGAGAACCAGUGUGACACCUUCUUCCAUGCAAGCAUGGCAGUCCUGAGGAUCUGCUAGGGUGGUAUGGAACUCCUCUGAAUGAUUAUAAAGGGUUUACACCAUA